GACGAACGCUGGCGGCGUGCCUAAUACAUGCAAGUAGAACGCUGAAGGAGGAGCUUGCUCUUCUGGAUGAGUUGCGAACGGGUGAGUAACGCGUAGGUAACCUGCCUGGUAGCGGGGGAUAACUAUUGGAAACGAUAGCUAAUACCGCAUAAGAGUAGAUGUCGCAUGACAUUUGCUUAAAAGGUGCAAUUGCAUCACUACCAGAUGGACCUGCGUUGUAUUAGCUAGUUGGUGAGGUAACGGCUCACCAAGGCGACGAUUCAUAGCCUACCUGAGAGGGUGAUCGGCCACACUGGGACUGAGACACUGCCCAUACUCUUACUGGAGGCAUGAUUUGGGAUUCUUCGGCAAUGGGGGGAUCCCUGACCGAGCAAUGCCCCGUGAGGUAAGAGGGUUUUCUGAUCUUUGAGCUCUUUUGAAGAGAAAAAGGGGGGUGGGAUUGGUAAGUUUACACUGGUUUGGUUCUUGUUCAGUUUGUGAUUGGUACUUUGUGCCUGCUGCCUUUGUUGUUGCUUUGGUUCUGAUGGUAGUCCUUUUUUUUUUGGUGAUGUGGGAUGCACAGUGGUUUGUUGUUGUGGGAUUGAAUGACGUGUCCUUGUGCUUGUUUGGUUUGGAAUUGUGUGUUGUUGUUGCUGUGUGGGAUUGGGUUGUGUGUGUUGGGGUGUGGUGUGUGUCUGUUGUUGUGGAUGUAGUGCUUGUCUGUAGUGCUUCUGUUGUGUGUGUGUGGUGUGUGGUGCUGUGGGUGGCGUUGUGUAUGAUUUGUUUUGAUUUGUGGGUGUAGUUGUGUGUGUUGUUUGUUGUUGUGUUUUGUGUGUGUGUGGGGGUGGGCGCUUGUGUGCUGUGGAUUGAAGAUAAAAGAAGAAAAGUGUGUGAAUGUGUGUGUUUUUUGUGCUGCUGAUGAUGUUGUGUGCAUGAUUACCUGUUGUUGUUUGUGGUGUGUUUUGUGUGUUGUUGUGUGUGUGUGUGUGUGUUUUUGUCUAGCGAUGUGUUUGUUGUCUGUGC
rnacentral:rRNA from 1 species